rnacentral:rRNA from 1 species
UACGAAGGGGGCUAGCGUUGUUCGGAGUUACUGGGCGUAAAGCGCACGUAGGCGGUUCGUUAUGUCGGAUGUGAAAGCCCUUGGCUUAACCGAGGAAGUGCAUCCGAAACUGGCGAGCUAGAGUACUAAAGAGGAUCGCGGAAUUCCCGGUGUAGAGGUGAAAUUCGUAGAUAUCGGGAGGAACACCGGUGGCGAAGGCGGCGAUCUGGGUAGAUACUGACGCUGAGGUGCGAAAGCGUGGGGAGCAAACAGG